rnacentral:lncRNA from 1 species
CCGUGAUCCCACAAGCUCAAUCUCCCACUUCCCAUGGAGCAGCAGGAAAAUGGAAGUGGGGCAGACCUGAAUGAAUGUUCAGGCUCAAGGGUUAACCAAUAACAUUGCCAAACCCUGAAUAGCAUUAAGUUUGGACCAAUGGUGUUGACCCAUGUGCCAAACUCCUAGAUUAGCAUACUCAGGCAGCAACUGCUGUAGGGGUCUCCUCUUGCCUGUGCAAAAUUUCUGUUUCUAUUCUUCACACUUGAAUGAAUCCUAACUCCUUUCCCUUUCACUGUUGCCUUCCAUUGUCUCAUGAAUUUCAUUCUUUAGAUUUGCAAGACAAAAACCUGGAAAGAAGUUGGCAGUGAGCUGCUGAAUUCUACUGGAGCUGCAGUACUGAGAUCUGCAACUCACCACUCAGUGGUAAUGGAGAAGAAUCAGGCUUUCUGGGCUGCAAAGGCCUGCAGCUUACACAGACUCCACCAGCCAACAGAAGCAGAGAAUCAAGUUUCAUCACAAACUCCAGUUUUAAGGGGAGAUAGCCUGUAGACCUCAGACUGGUGGUUAUAUACCAGGUGGUGAUUAGUGUGAAGAGAAUAAAGUAGAGAAGGGGCAGGAAGAGCCAAGGGUUGGUUCUCUGAGCAGAAAACAUUGUUAGCUGUGAGAAAACAUUCCACACAGAGCCAACAGUGGCUGUGUGUUGGGGAAAAGGGAAGGAAGCCAGCAUGGCAGAAAUGAGUAAGCAGGGAGCAAGUGGCUGGGGCUGAGGUCAGGGCUGGACUGCAAAGGCCCUUUUGGACUGUUUUCCUCUGGGAAGAGGGAGGAAGCCAUUUUGGGGUUUUGAGUAGAGGAAUGAUUAAAUCUGACCUGGGUGUUUUUUUGUUUGUUUAUUUAUUUAUUUUAAUAGCAAGAUCAUUCUGGAUGUUGAGCAGAAGCAAAGAGCCUGGUUAGGAAGCCAUUGCAAUAACCACCAAGAAACAGAAGAGUAACUUGGUCCAGGAUGAUGGGAUAAAAAGAUCAGAAGCUUUAUGAUGUGUUUUUAAAGUAGAACCAACAGGAUUUGCUAAUGAGUGGAUGGGAUGAGAGAAAGGGUCAAGUCUUGGACCUGAGCAAAUGAGAGGGUGGAACUGCUGCUUGCUGAUCAGGAAAACCUGGAGUGGAGGAAGGUCUGCAGUGUGGGUCUGAAUGUUCGCAGAGUGUGGACUGCCCUUUAGGGGUCCAAGUGCAGUAGUCCAGGAGGCAGCUGGCAAGAAGAGGUGGAGCUCAGGGGAGAGGUCAGGGUGGUCAGCUUCAGGAGUCAUGCAGAGAUGGCAUUGAUGGAUGAGAUCAUCAAAGGCAUAAGCAAGGAGCAGCUGAUUAGACCUGAACCCAGGACACUGCAGAAUAUGGGCCCCUGAAGUUGAAGAAGACCAGAAAAGAGACAAAAAGAAGUAGCAGGAAGGAGGGAGAGAUUAAGAGAAGCCAGUGCCAGGCCACAUGGUAAAUGGAGGAGGAAUGUCCAGCUGGGGCAGUGCUGUGAGUCAGGGAAAGGGAGGCCCAGCUGACUGACUUCACAGCAUAGGCCCUGGGAGCCUCCCAGUGUGGUCUCCGUGAAGUGGCAAAAAUCUAAUCAGAAAAGGUUCAAGAGUGAACAAGAAGACCAGAACUGGAGCUGAAAAAUGAAGCAAUAGAAAGAACUAUGGGUCAUGGUGUGGGACAGUAUUUUCUUUAAUGGAUCACCUUACAGUUUACAGUUUGAAUGCUGAGAGUAGGAGUCAAUGGGGAGGGGCAAUGAGGAAGAAAGGGACCAUUGUGUGGGGUGAGGUCCUUGAGCAGGAAGGAGGGAACAGGAUCUAGUGCUUCCUAAUCUGAGUGUGUCCAUCUGAAAGACAGUCUUGUCAAAUGCAGAUUCUGAUUUGAGGGCCUUGAGUGUCCGGAUUUCCAGCAAAUUCCCAUGCUACUACUGCUGUUGCUCCAAAGACCACACUUUGAGUAGUUCUGAGUGCAUGGAGGGAAAAGUUUGUUAGCAUUGAUAGUUCCCACCCUAAGUUGCAAGAGGAAAAGCAGAAUGGAAAAGCAUGGAGGAAGGGCUGGGGAGAUGAUGUGCUAGGAGAAAUAGAGGUCUCUUCUGAUUGCUUCCAUUUUCUCUGAUCAGCUGGGAGUGGAGAGGUUUGAGGAGAUAGAAAGAAGUGUGAAAAAUCAGGAGAGCAGAGGUCUGAACAGAAGUUCUCAAACUUACAUGGGAGGCUUGUUGAGCACCCGUGGCCAGGCAGCCCUGGAGGCUGAGUCAGCAGGUCUGAGGUGUGUGGGGUGGAGUCUGGGAAUUUGCAUUUCUUCCUUCUUCUUCCUCUUCCUCCUCCUUCUCCUUCUUCAACUUUACUGAAGCAUAAUUAAUAUACAAAAAUCUGCUUAUACUCAAUGUGUACAGAUUGAUGAGUUUAGACAUGUACAUACCCCAUGAAACCAGUCAAUGGUAAUAAGCCUCUAAGUGUUUCUCCAUGCCCCUUUGUUUCUUGGUUUGUUUGUUUGUUUGUUUGUUUUAAGACAGAGAGAGAGAGAGAAUUUUUAAAUAUUUAUUUUUUAGUUUUCAGCGGACACAUCUUUGUUUGUAUGUGGUGCUGAGGAUCGAACCCGGGCCGCACGCAUGCCAGGGGAGCGAGCUACCGCUUGAGCCACAUCCCCAGCCCAUGUUUGUUUUGUUUUGGUGUGUGUGUGUGUGUGUGUGUUAUGGCCAUUUAACAUCAGACCUAUCCUUUUUACACAUUGUUAGGUGCAUUGUUAGUAUUAUUAACUGUGGGCUCUCUGUUGUACACAGAUCUCUAGAACUUAUUCAUCUUCUAUAACUAAAACUGUCCCCAUUAAAUGGCACCCUGCUCUCCCCUAGGAAUUUGUAUUUCCCUCAAGUACCUUCAAGUUCUGGAUGCUGGUGUGGGUGCUGGCAACCCACAUUUUGAGAACUACCAGAACGGGAAAUGCAGCUGGCUCUCGAGGCAGCCCAGCAGUCAGCUGAAGUCCAUUGUCCUGUGUUCUCUACCAGGGUCAGCUGCUCAGGUACAAAGGAGGUGGGAAGUUAGAUUUCUUCAAGAUGGGGGACAAACAAUCCUUUGUUUGGCACCAUGUCUAGGAUAUAUUAUAUGCUUAAAAAUUUUCAUUGUUAUUAUCUAGCCACCAGCUCUUCCUUACAACCCCACCUCCCAACCCACACACAGCAAUUCUCCUAUCUAACUGUACAGCAUGGUGGUUGAGAGCCCAGGCUCUGGGCCUGGCAGGCCUGAAUCCAGCUGUAUGUCCUUGGGCUGAUUUCUUAAUGUCUCUAUGUUUUAGUUUCUUCAUCUGAAAAUGAGAUAAGUACUCUUCCUUCACAGAGUUAUUGGGAUCAUUAAAAAAAAAAAAAUGCAUCUAAAUCACUUAGCAUGGGGUGGCAUACAGUAAACAGCAAAUUCUGAGGAUCCUUAAAGACCAGAGGAAUGGAAAGCAUUCACUGAAAAUUAACUCUUUGCACAAUCUCUGACCAUCCAAACCCAGCAGAGCCUCUUCUUGAUUUGCAACUAGAAUUAUUUUCUCCUACCCUCUUCUUUCUUGAUACUUCCUACCAAUUAUCACAUGGUUUACUUAGGAUAGAACUAUUUAUAUAUGUGGAAGUCAAGACCACUAAGUCUUGCACCCCUGAAGGGCAGUAAUUAUUUCUUAACUCAUAAACUCUGGAAGACUUGUGCACAGUGCCUACACAUAUUAUACUUUAAAGGCAUUAUCUGUGCACUUGAAUAAGAUUAUAUAUGGUGUAACACUGGAGCAUCUCAAAGUAAUUCUUGCUCAUAGGGAAAAAUAAUUAUUAACUGUGGGCUCUCUGUUGUACAAAUGAAACAGUACAAAUGAAACCAGUCUAUUCCAAAUAGGAACAUAAUACAUACUCUUGCAACUUUUUAAAUUAGGGCCUCUUGGACAUUGUUUCUUCUUAGUUCUUAAAGAUUUACCUCAUUCUUUUUCACAUUGCAUUGUAUUGUAUUCUUUUAAACAUUCCAUCGUUCAGAUGUACCACAAUUUGUCUAAGCUGUUUCCUACUUAUGGACAUCUAGAAUGUUCUGGGGUUGUUAAAAUUGUUGUUAUAAACAAUGCUGCAAUGAGUACUUCUUUGUGAAUGACUGAAAGAUAAAUUUCUAGGAAGUUAAAUUCCUAGAAGUGGAUCAGAGGAUCUAUGCAUUUUUUAUGUUGAUAACUGUAUCAAUUAUAGUUCAGUUAGCUGAGAAGAGUUAUGUUCCACCCAGCUUAAGGGGAGUUUUGUUACAGGCUACUGGAUGAAAUGAAGAGUCAUUGGGAAGGCUCAAGAACAAAUCUACAUUGAAUAUUUAGAGAUGACUUCAAGAGCCACACUUGCAGGCCUGAGCUUCAAAAAGAGCUAUUACCUUUUCAAUCAGAAAAGUCAUUGCCAAACUGGGAAGCUGCUGUCUUGACUUCCAUAAACUCCAAAAGCAUGCUGCCUCUGCUAGUCAGGAAGCCAAAAUAAUCAGGGGGUCACUUUCCUGACAAUGUUUGUUGGCUCAAGCAGCAAAGUAUGGUUUCCUCUUCUGCCUUCCAGAGCUCAAGUAACCAGCAGAAUGCAACUCAUAUCCAGAAAUCUAGCUCUCUAGAGAGCCAGGGGAAUGUAGCUGGUAACCUUCCUGCUUCUGCAAGUGAGAAAUCAUGUAAGACAGGCAAGAUUGGACUGCAUCUCCAGUGCCACGCACUCGCACUCUACCAACUACUUCCAGUACUUCUUCCCAAAAGUGCUUGAUUCCUCCACGCCAUCAUCAAAAUUAAUGUCUCCUAACUUGCUAUAAUAUCUCAGUGUUUGAGUUUUACAUUUCUUUGUUUAUAAAUCAGAUUGAAGAUCUUCAAUUUGUUUAUUGGCCAUUAUAGUUCAUUUUCCUAUUUUUAUCUCUAUCAGUAUUAGUAAGUAACAACCCCCACCCCCCGCUGCAACCCAGUAGAUUAAAACAUAGUCUACAGGUCCAUAGUCCACAACCCCAUCUGGGUUGUUUUGCUGAGCCUAGGCUCAGUUGAUCUCAUCUGGGCUCAGCAUCUUCCGUCAGCUGAUGAGUCACUAAAGCUGCUGGUGUGGGAUGGCAUUGGCUGGUCUAUGUUGGCUCUUCUCCCCAGGACUCUCUUCCAUCAGGCCAGCCCACACUGAUGUUCAUGAGAGUGGCACAGAUUCAAGAGAGAGAGGGAGAAGAGACCCAAAUGCUUUUCCUAGUGUCUGCUCUGUGCAGAUGUUCCUAUCCCAUUGGCCACAGCAAGUCAUUGGGUCUCGCCCAGGACAGAGUAGGAAGGAGGAAACAUCCUAAAGGCCUGGAUAUAGAGAAGCCUUUGACAGAGACCAUUAAAGAAAUCAGUUCUUGCAUUAUCUUUUG